rnacentral:tRNA from 1 species
GCCUUCAUAGCUCAGUUGGUAGAGCAGCUCCCUUUUAAGGAGACGGUCCCAGGUUCAAAUCCUGGUGGAGGCACCA